GACAGAGGUAAGACUGCUUUCUCUUCUAUUUACUAGAAAGUUCUUAAUUGCGUAUCUCUUCCUGUUUUCCCAGAUGAGAGGAAAAAGAUCGUUGGCAAGCUUAUAUUGAUAGACUAACCGGACAACCUGCUGCUUUUCAGGAAAAUUUUAAGACAUGGCUGAAUCGAAGGCUUACCGAUUUGGAGCAGUUCUGCUUCUUAUCCACUUAAUUUUCCUUGUCCCUGGAACCGAAGCAGCUUCCUUCCAGCGAAACCAGCUGCUUCAGAAAGAACCAGACCUCAGAUUGGAGAAUGUCCAGAAGUUUCCUAGUCCAGAAAUGAUCAGGGCUUUGGAGUACAUAGAAAAGCUCAGGCAGCAGGCCCACAGAGAAGAAAGCAGCCCAG
rnacentral:lncRNA from 1 species